CACGUAGGCGGGAAUUUAAGUCAGAUGUGAAAGACCGGGGCUCAACUCCGGGGUGGCAUUUGAAACUGAAUUUCUUGAGGGCAGGAGAGGAAAGCAGAAUUCCUGGUGUAGCGGUGAAAUGCGUAGAAAUCAGGAGGAAUACCAGUGGCGAAGGCGGCUUUCUGGACUGUCCCUGACGCUGAGGUGCGAAAGCGUGGGUAGCAAACAG
rnacentral:rRNA from 1 species